CACCCAUAUCAUGUUGAAAUAUUGGUUCCCAUAUGAUCAGUGAAGUUAAGCAAUGUUGAACCUGUUCAGUACCAAGAUGAGUAACUACUUGAGAAUAUCAGGUGUUGUAGG